GGGCGGAUGGAGGAUGCCUUGGGAGAUUAAGGCGAUGAAGGACGUAGGGUGCUUGCGAUAAGCCUCGGGGAGGUGGCUACCAACCUUUGAUCCGGGGAUUUCCGAAUGGGGAAACCCUGCCGUGUAAACCACGGCAAGCCGCGCUCUGCGCGGCGGCGAACCCGCUGAAGUGAAACAUCUCAGUAAGCGGAGGAAAAGAAAACAAGCCUUGUGCUCCGCACAAGGAUAUUCCCUUAGUAGCGGCGAGCGAAAAGGGAAUAGCCCAAACCUAGCCAUACCUCUUUGCGCUUGGUACGAACUUAAAUGAAAAACUAAAAGCGAAAAGCGUAAAAUAACAACCUAAAACUUAAAACAUUUUGUUUUGAAUUUUGAACUGUUGUUUUGCAUUUUACGUUUUACGCUUUACGUUUAAGUGAAUACCGAGCGUAGCGAGGUGUGGCUGGGGGUUGUAAGUUAAUGGUGUUUUGGAGCUUUUGCUUCAAAAGGAGUCUAUCAAAAUGAAAUUUCGUUAGCUAAACAAGGAUGGAAAGCCUGACCAAAGAAGGUAAUAGUCCUGUAAGCGAAAACGAUUUCAUGCUCCUAACUGUUAUACUUGAGUACUUCAAGGAAUGAAAACCUUGAAGGAAGCAGGCUGAACUAUCAGCCAAGGCUAAAUACUUAAUCUCACCGAUAGUGAACCAGUACCGUGAGGGAAAGGUGAAAAGUAGCCCGGAAGGGCGGUGAAAUAGAACCUGAAACCAUCACGCCUACAAAGAGUCAGAGCUCCGCUUCGGCGGGGUGAUGACGUGCUUUUUGCAGAACGAGCCAACGAGUCUUUAUUUUCAGUUUGUCUAAGCCCUUCUGGGGCGAAGGCAAAGCGAAAGCAAGUGUUAAUAGCGCGACCCCUGAUUUAUCAGGAAGACUGGAAAUAGAGAACCCGAAGCCAAGCGAGCUUGCCAUGGCCAGGGUGAAUCUCGACGAAAGUCGAGAGGAGGCCCGAACCCGUGAGCCGUGCAAUACUCUGGGAUGAGCUGUGGUAAGAAGUGAAAAGCUAAUCGAGCUUGGUAAUAGCUGGUUCUCCCCGAAAUAGCUUUAGGGCUAGCCUUCGCCUAAAUUUUCGCAGGUAGAGCACUGAAUGGAAUUACGUGGGCUUUGCCUAGUCUUUCCAAUCAAACUCCGAAUGGCGAAAAAAUUUUGGCGGGGAGUUAGACUGUGGGGGCUAAGCUCCAUAGUCAAAAGGGAAACAGCCCAGAUCUUUAUCUAAGGUCCCUAAACUACUGCUGAAAGGCAGGUUCCAACUCUUUUAUUAAAAGGGUUGCGAAGAGCUAAGUGUUUUUAAGGAAGUGAAUUUCCAAAGAUAGUUAGGAGGUUAGCUUAGAAGCAGCUAUCCUUUAAAAAGUGCGUAAUAGCUUACUAAUUAAGGAAUUUCGCGCCGAAGAUUACCGGGACUAAGCUUAGUACCGAAGAUAAGGACCCGUGAGAUAUUUUUAUUUCAUGGGUGGUAGGGGAGCGUCUUUAGUGCUGCGAAGUCAAACCGUGAGGUUUGGUGGAGCGCUAAGGAGUGAGAAUGUUGGCAUGAGUAACCGCAAUCCCGGUGAGAGCCCGGGACACCGAAAACCUAAGGUUUCCUUGGCAAUGACAAUCAACCAAGGGUUAGGCGGUCCUUAGUCUUUGGCCGAAUGGCCUGGAUGAUGGACAGCCGGUUAAUAUUCCGGCCCCUGAGCGCAUAAUUCUAAGGAGUGACGGAGUUUAGUAAUUUGAGCAGAUUAUUGGAUUUCUGUUGUUAGCUUGAGAUUUUUCAAGGGCUAACAGGAAGUCCUGCUACGGUGGGAUGAACUCAAAUGAGCAAGCUUCCCAGAAAAACUUCUUAGGAGUUAGUUAUGCGUUUAGUCCGUACCGUAAACCGACACAGGUGGGUAGGCGUAAAUGUGCCAAGGUGAACGAGUGAAACCUCGUUAAGGAACUCGGCAAAAAAGUGUCCGUAAGUUCGCAAUAAGGACUGCCUGACCUUGUGCUUUGCACAAGGCUGGGCUGCAACAAAAGUAUCCCAGGCGACUGUUUAUCAAAAACACAGGUCCCUGCUUAACUCGUAAGAGGAUGUAUAGGGGCUGAGGCCUGACCAGUGCUGGAACGUUAAAUUUGGCGGUGUCAAGCGCAUAGUUUAUGUGUUUGGCGCUGACUGAAUGAAGCGCCAGUGAACGUCGGCGGUAACUAUAACCGUCUUAAAGUAGCGUAAUCCCUUGCCGGGUAAGUUCCGGCCCGCAUGAAAGGCUUAACGACUUGGGAACUGUCUCAACGAGGAGCUCGGUGAAAAUG
rnacentral:rRNA from 1 species